GUAGGCAAGUUUAACUCCCAAGCCCCCCCAAACCGUCUAUUGUACUAAUAAACUCUUAGGUGAACCUGCGGAAGGAUCAUUACUGAGUUAGGGUCUUCUAGGCCCGACCUCCAACCCUUUGUCUAUUUUACCUCUUGUUGCUUCGGUGGGUCCGUCCCCUCUAGAAAUAGAGGACGACCGCCGGAGGGUUUACCGCCCUCUGGCCCGCGCCCACCGACGGCCUCAACCCAAAACUCUUGUUUAAACAUGA
rnacentral:misc_RNA from 1 species